CUUUUUUCUAAUAAUAAUAAGUUAAAUAUUUGUUAUUAUUUUAUUAUUAUUGCUAUUGGUAUUCCAUAGCAUCUCUUGCGGUGAGACCCCUCACUCUUCCCCAGUGCUGAAGAUGCACAUAGAAGAUCAGUCACUCAGACACCUCAGGAAAUAAGUCUCAGCACUUUUCCCUGAAGACUUCUGGUCCAUACUAACACUGGCUUCUGCCAAACAUACUUUCUUCCAAUGGGUACAAAGGCGGCAUAAUUGUCGGAGCUUGGUGUAUCAGUUAGCUAUUGCUGCGUAAGAAAAUACCCCGAAACCUGAAACAAAAGCCAGUUCUUUUUGCCUGUGCAUCUGCGUCCUGGCUGGUUAUCUGGUGGUCAUGAUGGGCCCUGUCGAUCUUGGCUGGGUUCACGCAGGUGUGCUGUCCACGGGGUUGGGUUGUUGGCUGAGUAGAAUUGGGCUUGCUCACAUUAAUGGAACAAGUGGUCAGAUCCAGCUGUAUUUCUUACAGUUUCUCACCCUCCUGCAGGCCAGCCUGGGCUUGUUUUCCCGGUAGUACUGGGUUCUGAGAGAGAGUAACUGCAUGGAAGGCCUUGAAGACUGGGCUUGGGCCUGCUGUACCCACAUGACUGCUUCUGCCACGUUCUACUGGCCAAGCUCUAUGGGCAGCUCAGACACAAGGGAAGAGACUCUGCUGCUUCCUGGGAGAAGCUGCAAGACCACAUUGCGAAGGAACAUGUUGUUGCUGCUCCCAUGUUACCUUCGUCAGUGACCUGAGAUGCAGACUGGAUCUAGGGAAUGGUGUUUCCUGUGUGAUGCCUUCCAGGAGUAUCUGCACCACGGGCAGCAAGUGCAGGCAGAGGCCUCGGGCCAGAGGGGAGGUGGCAGGGCUCAGGUGCCCUGUGCUUCCUCGGAGAAGGCACUUGGGAUGAAGGCUUAGUCCUGCCUGGUAAACCUGGAGGCCUGUGAACACUGGGGUUAGCCCCAACAAGGGAGGAGGUUCCCGCUGCCUCACUAAGAACAGCCUGCUGCUACACUCACCCUGACAGCUGCUCCGCUCCCAGUGAACCCCACCCCGAGAAGGCUCAUCGGGGCCACGGACCUCCCUCAGCGCUGCAUUCAGAAUCCCUCAGGAGUUGUAAACUUCCUGAUUUCUGGACCCAUCACCAGAGCCCAACGUCACGGGUAAGGGUUAGGGCCUGGAUGUCAGGAUUCAAUUUGGAGAAUUCCCCGGGGCAAUUCCACCAUUGCAGACACUGAAACGGAGCUGGGGCAGAAGAAUCACACCAGGUGGCUCGAGCUGAGCGGCUGGGAGUGUGGCAGUGAAGACACUGAGUGUCCGUCAGGGAAGAUGGCUCUGGGUACAACAGCGUGCCCAGCCCCUUAGAUAUUCUCUGCACGGAAGUGGCCCCACCCUGAAGCGCGUGUGCAGUGACUGUUCAUGCUUCUGUGUGUGUGCAGGAGUAGUUUGGUUGGAGUGUGCAUAUGCGAAUGUGUGUGUAUGGAAGUCUAUCUAUCUGUAAUGUAAAGCAGUUGCGUAAUGCAAAUGUGUGUGUAUGGACAUCUAUCUGUAAUGCAAAGCAGUUGCGUAAUGCAAAUGUGUGUGUAUGGAUGUCUAUCUAUCUGUAAUGUAAAGUUCCCAAGUAUUGUGUAUAUCAUUGUUUGAGUUUUUAAAUUCUAAGAUAAUUUCUAGAGAAAAAGAUGUACGGGUGAUUCCUGGUGAAAAGCAGGGACCGUGGGCCUCAUAUUGAGACACAUUUCACGCUGUUUAGAUUGUAAUGGCAAUUAUGUAUGACUUUUGUACGUUUUUUAAAAAGCCAAUAAAAUACAUUUUAAAAUGUG
rnacentral:lncRNA from 1 species